UCUAUACGAAAUUUCGUCAACGUCAGUUAAGCAGAUAGGCCGUGAAAAGCUAACAGACAGACAGACACACUUUCGC